AUUGAACGCUGGCGGCAGGCCUAACACAUGCAAGUCGAACGAGCGGCGGACGGGUGAGUAAUGUCUGGUAAACUGCCCGAUGGAGGGGGAUAACUACUGGAAACGCUAGCUAAUACCGCAUACCAUCGGAUGUACCCAGAUGGGAUUAGCUAGUAGUUGGGGUAAAGGCUCAACUAGGCGACGAUCCCUAGCUGGUCUGAGAGGAUGACCAGCCAAACUGGAACUGCGCCACGGUCCAGACUCCUACGGGAGGCAGCAGGGGGGAAUAUUGCACAAUGGGCGCAAGCCUGAUACAGCCAUGCCGCGUGUAUGAAGAAGGCCUUCGGGUUGUAAAGUACUUUCAGCGAGGAGGCGUUACUCGCAGAAGAAGCACCGGCUAACUCCGUGCCAGCAGCCGCGGUAAUUC
rnacentral:rRNA from 1 species